UUUCUGUCAUAAAGCGGAAAGCACCCGUUCCUCCAACAUUUAGAGUAUUAACGAUACUUUUUUCUUUGCAGAAAGAAUAUUUUGCUGGAUCGUAGGCGAAUAAAUCUGAAGAAACCACAGCAUUCUCAAUAACACUUGCAGCAGAUGAGGUAUUUGAAUCUUCAUCACAAUUCGUCGGAAGUACUAUGUGUGUUAUUAAAUUCGCCUCGUCAUGAGCUUGAAGUAUUUCGCCCGAAUCACCUGAUUCCAUUUUUACACGUAUUAUAUCCGCGCCUGUGAAAUUUGUAUAUUUCUCACGAGCUUUUUGAGAUAACCGAAUUUUAACACAAAAUCUUGGAAUAUACUUGUAUUACUCAAUUUUAGAUUAAAUUAUCCCAAACCCAUUCUGAAAAUUAGCAAAAGGAUCCAAAAAGAACAUCAAACAGUUUUCGGUUACUUAGGAAUCCGAAAAUGGAUAACAUAGGUUGGAACAUCAUCACUAUAUUCACAUUUUGAAACAGUAUAGACCUGUGGCUCACUCUAGCGUAAAUACCUUGUACUACAAUAAGGUAAAAGCUACUACGGCUAAUUUAACUAUACAGCAGCCUGGCCGAGGAAAUGAACAAACUUUAUUUAACAAGUUUAUUGAUUAAACGCAGGAAUUAUUAGUCAAUAAUAACUGUGAUCACUCUCAAAUUUCGUAUUCGAUUUUGAUUCAUAAGACACACAUUUCGAAGAUAUAAAUCGCACGUUUCUUAAUACCAUAAACUUCAAUUAAAUUAAUGUUUACUGGCAUUAGUUAAUAACUAUUCGUGUUAUUGGAUAAUGAAUAGAUCAUAAACAAUCAUGUAAAAUCCUAGCAGACGUAUUCUCGUGUUUGAUGAUUUGAUGUCCGACUUGACGUGUUUUCAAUCUACAUCCAACACAAACGAUAUGACCAUGAACAAACCAGGGACUUGGUGGCAGUGAGAUUUCCUGAAAAACUGAGCAUUCUAGAACUCGGGUCUAGAUGAAUUUAAUAAUUAAUUUUCUAAAAUAUCGCAAAGCGUCUGCAAGUUUACAGGCCACUUCUGGCAAUGGUCCUUUCACUGCUACGCAAAUUCUUUUACUCCUUCGUUAAUGUAUCUCCAGAUAAAUUAUUUUAAAUCACAUCCUUCAUAAUGGUGGAUUAAAGCCGUCAUUUGUAUUAUUCUUAGUCCUAUUAAAUCCUUUCCAUCGAUAAUAAUUAAACAAUCACCAACUGUAACAUUUAACAUAUAAAAUAAAAACAGAUUAUUCCGU